UCUGCUCAGUCACAUACCAAAAUUUGACUGCUCUGAAACUUAUAGUGUCCCUUGUCUCAAAAUACUCAGAUUAUAGAACAUGGUUUAUCGAGACAUUUCAUACUGCUAAUGAGAGAACUAGAAAAUUAUUGGGAAUUACUUCUUGAGCUAUUUGAUUUUAAAGAAAUUGACUGGUUCAUGAAGGUAUCAGACAAGCAGUGUCUGAAAUUUCAAGGUUCAUAUCAGGUUAUCUACAUGAAGUUAAUGCUUCACGGACUGUGAGGGCUGUUACUUAUUCUCCUAAGCAGACUAUCU
rnacentral:lncRNA from 1 species